rnacentral:rRNA from 1 species
AGAGUUUGAUCCUGGCUCAGGACGAACGCUGGCGGCGCGCCUAACACAUGCAAGUCGAACGAGCGAGAGAGAGCUUGCUUUCUCAAGCGAGUGGCGAACGGGUGAGUAACGCGUGAGGAACCUGCCUCAAAGAGGGGGACAACAGUUGGAAACGACUGCUAAUACCGCAUAAGCCCACGACCCGGCAUCGGGUAGAGGGAAAAGGAGCAAUCCGCUUUGAGAUGGCCUCGCGUCCGAUUAGCUAGUUGGUGAGGUAAUGGCCCACCAAGGCAACGAUCGGUAGCCGGACUGAGAGGUUGAACGGCCACAUUGGGACUGAGACACGGCCCAGACUCCUACGGGAGGCAGCAGUGGGGAAUAUUGCACAAUGGGGGAAACCCUGAUGCAGCGACGCCGCGUGGAGGAAGAAGGUCUUCGGAUUGUAAACUCCUGUUGUUGAGGAAGAUAAUGACGGUACUCAACAAGGAAGUGACGGCUAACUACGUGCCAGCAGCCGCGGUAAAACGUAGGUCACAAGCGUUGUCCGGAAUUACUGGGUGUAAAGGGAGCGCAGGCGGGAAGACAAGUUGGAAGUGAAAUCUAUGGGCUCAACCCAUAAACUGCUUUCAAAACUGUUUUUCUUGAGUAGUGCAGAGGUAGGCGGAAUUCCCGGUGUAGCGGUGGAAUGCGUAGAUAUCGGGAGGAACACCAGUGGCGAAGGCGGCCUACUGGGCACCAACUGACGCUGAGGCUCGAAAGUGUGGGUAGCAAACAGGAUUAGAUACCCUGGUAGUCCACACCGUAAACGAUGAUUACUAGGUGUUGGAGGAUUGACCCCUUCAGUGCCGCAGUUAACACAAUAAGUAAUCCACCUGGGGAGUACGACCGCAAGGUUGAAACUCAAAGGAAUUGACGGGGGCCC